GACGAACGCUGGCGGCGUGCCUAAUACAUGCCAGUUGAGCGCUGAAGGUUGGUACUUGUACCAACCGGAUGAGCCGCGAACGGGUGAGUAACGCGUGGGGACUCUGCCUUUGAGCGGGGGACAACAUUGGGACACGAAUGCUAAUACCGCAUAAGAACUUUAAACACAAGUGUUAAGUUUGAAAGAUGCCAUUGCGUCAUGCACAGAUGACUCCGCGUUGUAUUAGCUAGUUGGUGAGGUAAAGGCGCACCAAGGCGAGGAAGCAUAGCACACCUGAGAGGGUGAGUGGCCGCACUGGGACUGAGACCCGCCCCAAACUGCCUGGGGAGGCGGCAGGAGGGAAUCUUCGGGAAUGGGCGAAAGUCAGACCGAGCAACGCCGCGGGAGGGAAGAACGGCUUCGGAUCCGAAAACUCUGUUGGUAGGGAAGAAAGUUGGUGAGAGUGGAACGCACAUCAAGUGACGGUAACUACUCAGAAAGCAACGGCUAACUACGUG
rnacentral:rRNA from 1 species